rnacentral:RNase_P_RNA from 1 species
UGAGCAAGUCGGGUGAUCGCUGCUUCGCAGUUUUCUGGUUUCAAAUUUUGAGACUCUGAGCGACGCGAAGGAGAGGAAAGUCCGAACACCGUAGGGCAUCGAGCCCGCUAACGGCGGGGCGUUCGAGUGAAUUCCUUAAUUUCAGAUCUCAGAUUUGAGAUCGGAAGUUCGAUUCUCUCGGAUGACGACAAGUGCAACAGAAAGCAGACCAGCCGACCGGCCUGGGGUUUUGGGAUUUCAAAUCCGAGAUUUCAAAUUCUCAGGUCUGGUGAUGGGUGAAAUGGUGCGGCCCGCAAGGGCUUAAUGUAAGAGCGCACCGGCGCGUGUGGUGACAUGCGCGGCCAGGCAAACUCCUCGCGGUGCAAGAUCAAAUAGGGAGGCGUCAACAGGGCUGCCCGCCCGAAGCAGUAACUCAGAUUUGAGAUCUCGAUCUCAGAUUUCGGGAAUCUGCUACGACCUUCGGGUAGAUCGCUUGAUCCGAUCGGCAACGGUCGGGCUAGAGGAAUGAUCGCCACUUUGGUUGAUCUCAGAUUUGAGAUUUCAGUUCUGAGAUCGAUCGGAGAACAGAAUUCGGCUUAUAGACUUGCUCGAUUU